GCCCCGGUAGCUCAGUGGAUAGAGCAACCCCCUCCUAAGGGGUAGGUCGCACGUUCGAUUCGUGUUCGGGGCGCCA
rnacentral:tRNA from 2 species